CUGUUCUGAUUAUAGAUGCUGAAGACAGUGACAUUGCUCAGACAUCUCCAGGUUGCCAAAGAAAGCGUACUGCAGUUUUACCCGAAAGCUAAUAUCAUUGCCUACCAUGACAGCGUCAUGAACCCUGACUAUAAUGUGGAAUUUUUUCGACAGUUUAUAUUUGUUAAGAAUGCUUUAGAUAACAGAGCUGCCCGAAACCAUGUUAAAAGGAUGUGUCUGGCAGCCGAUGUCCCUCUUACCCAGAGUGGAACUGCUGGUUACCUUGGACAAGUAACUACUGUCAAAAAGGGUGUGUCAGAAUGUUAUGAAUGUCAUCCUAAGCCAACCCAGAGGACGUUUCCUGGCUGUACAAUUCGUAACACACCUUGAGAACCUAUUCAUUGCAUUGUUUGGGCAAAGUAUUUGUUCAACCAGCUGUUCGGUGAAGAAGAUGCUGAUCAAGAAGUAUCCCCUGACAGAGCUGACCCUGAAGCUGCCUGGGAGCCAACAGAAGCUGAAGCCAGAGCCAGAGCCUCUAAUGAAGACAGUGACAUUAAACGUAUUUUCACUAAGGAAUGGGCCAAAUCAACUGGAUAUGAUCCAAUUAAACUUUUUACCAAGCUUUUUAAAGAUGAUAUCAGAUAUCUAUUGACAAUGGACAAAUUAUGGCAGAAAAGGAAACCUCCAGUUCCAUUGGACUGGACUGAAGUACAAAGUCAAGGAGAAGAAACCAAUGCAUCAGAUCAACAAAAUGAACCCCAGUUAGGCCAAAAGACCAGCAGGUUCUAGAUGUAAACAGCUAUGCAAGUCUUUUUUCAAAGAGCAUUGAGACAUUGAGAGUUCAUUUAGCAGAAAAGGGGGAUGGAGCUGAGCUCAUAUGGGACAAGGAGCAGUGGAUUUUGUCACCUCAGCUGCAAACCUCAGGAUGCAUAUUUUCAGUAUGAAUAUGAAGAGCAGAUUUGAUAUAAAAUCAAAGGCAGGAAACAUCAUUCCUGCUAUCACCACUACUAAUGCAGUGAUUGCUGGGUUGAUAGUCUUGGAAGGGUUGAAGAUUUUAUCAGGAAAAAUAGAGCAGUGUAGAACAAUUUUUUUGAAUAAAUAACCAAACCCAAGAAAGAAGCUCCUUGUGCCUUGUGCACUGGAUCCUCCCAACCCCAACUGUUACGUCUGUGCCAGUAAGCCAGAAGUGACUGUGCGGCUGAAUGUCCAUAAAGUGACUGUCCUCACCUUACAGGAUAAGAUAGUGAAAGAAAAAUUUUCUGUGGUAGCACCAGAUGUCCAAAUUGAAGAUGGGAAAGGAAAAAUCCUAACAUCUUCAGAAGAGGGAGAGACAGACAUUAAUAAUCACAAGAAGUUGUCGGAAUUUGGGAUUAGAAAUGGCAGCCGGCUUCAAGCAGACGACGUCCUUCAGGACUACAGUUUACUGAUCAACAUCCUUUAUAGUGAAGAUCUAGGAAAGGGUGUUGAAUUUGAAGUUGUUGGUGACGCCCCAAAAAAGUAGGGCCUAAACAAGCUGAAGGUGCUGCUAAAAGCAUAACCAAUGGCAAUGAUGAUGGAGCCCAGCCCUCCAUCUCCACGGCACAAGAGCAAGAUGACGUGCUUAUAGUUGAUUCAGAUGAAGAAGGUUCUUCAAAUAAUGCUGAUAUCACUGAAGAGGAGAGAAGUUGUAAGAGGAAAUUGGAUGAGAAAGAGAAUGUCAGUGCAAAGAGGUCACGUAUGGAACAGACAGAAGAACUUGAUGAUGUGAUAGCAUUAGAUUGAAGAGCAGUGCCUCUUGACAGACCCUCUUUACUACAUUAAUUUAUCUGGGCAGAACCAGAUUAUUCGUUAUGUCCUUUGUU